GCCUGGCUGGCUCAGUCAGAAGAGCGUGUGACUCUUGAUCUCAGGGUUGUGAGUUCGAACCCUACACUGGGUG
rnacentral:tRNA from 1 species